rnacentral:rRNA from 1 species
UAGGGAAUCUUCGGCAAUGGACGAAAGUCUGACCGAGCAACGCCGCGUGAGUGAAGAAGGUUUUCGGAUCGUAAAACUCUGUUGUUAGAGAAAAACAAGGACGUUAGUAACUGAACGUCCCCUGACGGUAUCUAACCAGAAAGCCACGGCUAACUACGUGCCAGCAGCCGCGGUAAUACGUAGGUGGCAAGCGUUGUCCGGAUUUAUUGGGCGUAAAGCGAGCGCAGGCGGUUUCUUAAGUCUGAUGUGAAAGCCCCCGGCUCAACCGGGGAGGGUCAUUGGAAACUGGGAGACUUGAGUGCAGAAGAGGAGAGUGGAAUUCCAUGUGUAGCGGUGAAAUGCGUAGAUAUAUGGAGGAACACCAGUGGCGAAGGCGGCUCUCUGGUCUGUAACUGACGCUGAGGCUCGAAAGCGUGGGGAGCAAACAGG